UCCAGACUCCUACGGGAGGCAGCAGUGAGGAAUAUUGGUCAAUGGGCGGAAGCCUGAACCAGCCAAGUCGCGUGAGGGAUUAAGGCCCUGCGGGUCGUAAACCUCUUUUGUCGGGGAGCAAAGCGAGUCACGUGUGACUCAUUGAGAGUACCCGAAGAAAAAGCAUCGGCUAACUCCGUGCCAGCAGCCGCGGUAAUACGGAGGAUGCGAGCGUUAUCCGGAUUUAUUGGGUUUAAAGGGUGCGCAGGCGGAGGUGCAAGUCAGCGGUCAAAUUGCGGGGCUCAACCCCGUACUGCCGUUGAAACUGCAUCCCUUGAGUGCGCGAGAAGUAUGCGGAAUGCGUGGUGUAGCGGUGAAAUGCAUAGAUAUCACGCAGAACUCCGAUUGCGAAGGCAGCAUACCGGCGCGCAACUGACGCUCAUGCACGAAAGCGUGGGUAUCGAACAGGAUUAGAUACCCCAGUA
rnacentral:rRNA from 1 species